GGGGACCUUGGUGGGGGCCUGGGGGGGUCCUGGGAGGGGAGGCCUGCGUGCGGAGACCUGAGUGGGUGCAGCUGAGUGAGGACCCGGGAGGGGGGCCGGGGGGCUCGGCCCGGCUCUGUCGUCUGCCUCCAACAACGCCCGUUCUGCACGGAGCCCCACGGCUCGACUCGCUCGCCAACGCCGCUGGCGUGAGCGUCCGGCCCCCUCGAAGGUCAUUUGACCAAAUUUGACACCAGCCUAGAAAACCUUUCUAGCCACGAAAUUGCACUUCGGGGAAACCAGCUCAAAGGAAUAAUUUGAAAGUCACACAGCAGACAGCGAGGAACCCCUCCAAGCUGCACUUCCGCUCCAACUUACGCGCUGCCCGGCUCCAAGAUGGCCGCGUGACGCACGACGUAACGCGGAAGCCCCGCCCCUCGCGACGGCUGCUCCUCUUCACGCCCCGCCCCUUCCGGCUUUGACCCGGAAGUGGCCUCCCAAGGCGGAAGUGAGCUGGCGAAGCGCGGCGGGCAAUUGAAACGUUGGAGGAUGGCGGGGUUGAGGCUGCAGGCCGUCGGGGGCUCGCCCAGGUACAAAGAGCUCAUCCGCUCCAUGAAGGCAGUGAGGUGUGAAGACACCGUCGGGAGAGAAAGGAGCCAGUUUCUCUAACACCUGUUGCCAUCCUCAAGCUGUCACAACAAAUCCCAACAACAGGGUGCCGGGCGCGUGCCCUGCCCCCUCCAGGCAUGAGCGCUCCGGGACAAGGUCCCCUCCUACCUGCGCGAGUGCGGGACCUCGCCAGUGCCGCCGACACGCUGGUGGUGCCCCUGAGCAGCCUGGCCCGCUGCACCCGCGCCUGCCACUCCCAGCAGCUCCUGAAGAUGUUCUGGCCAGGCGGUGUCCCCGUGGGGAACGACCUCCUUGGUGCUGACCGGUGGGCGGUCGGCGUAGGAAAACUGGGUGCUGAAGCUGUUUCUAGAAGGCCUCUUGCACAAAACCGCCAUCCUCCUGGAUGUGGUGGGCAUGAUUAUGCAGGACCCAAGCAACCGACCAGGAGCCCGCCCUGCGUGAGUCCUGAUGCUCUCGGCCGCCAGCCGCGCAGUCACAGCGUGAGGCCACUCCUUGGCCCAGCUCCUGGUUCAGGCGACAGUCCUGGCCCCAGCAGGCAGGUCUGCGCUGGUCUCCUCUGAUAAAGCAGCAGAGAGCAAGCUGCUCCCAGAACCAGCAGACAGCUAGCCAUGCCUGCCCUGGCCGGCAUUGCUCCACCUCAUCAGAGGACGGUGUGUGCAGUCAGCUGCGAAGCCCAGAAUGCAAGGGGCCCUCCCUGCUCACAGAACCCCCACCAGCGCCGCCUGGCUCUCAGAGGGGAUUCUCAGCAGUCACUGCCCAGAGCUGGGUGCCACUCCAUGUCAGGAGGAGGCUGGGAGCCCGGGUAGGGCCCUGCCUUUGCAUCUAUGGGCCGGAUGCCGGGGCCACGGUAUGCUGGGCAAGGAGACUCGGUCCCCGCCACGAGCAUCUGUCCCCCUCGCCACCCUUAAGGUGCAUAUGCCUUUAAAGAUGCAGACCAGUAGACUCAGUGGCGACACACCGGGCCCUCUGAGUGGCACAGGCCUUAUCAGGAGGGGACCCCGCAUAGCCUGUGGACACAGUGAGACCAGAGCCAGCCACGUGCUGGAAUGUUUCAUGCUUGCGCAGGUGGUAGGCCCUGGGCCCUGACUACAUGAGUGAGCUGCUGUGCCUGUCCCUGAGCUUCGAGGGUCCAGAAACGCAGCCCUUCAGCCUCUUCCUGUCCCACGUGGUGGCAGAAACCUGAGUGGUGAGUGGCACCUGCCCCAAGGGCCUGUCUCCCAAUGGGCGGAUGGCAUGAACCACUUGUGGUGGUAGCGCAGGACUUGCACCCAAGGGCUCGGUGCUCCCCCACGUUGGGCCACCAGCCCUGGAGGACGGGGCUGGGCCAGUGCUGAGAUGUGUCUUUGCUUCUCAGGUGUCCCUGGGCAAAGUCGCUCGACCUUCAUUGUCUCUAAAACCUUCAGGAGGCCGCACCUCGGCCACAAACCACCUGUAGCUGAGCAGAUUCGUGUCUGUCGUUUCCCUGGGAAGACACUGGAAUGCCCAGGUCAGCCGGCCAGGGGAGGGGCGUCCGGGCUCCCCAAGAGAGCCGGCCCUCGGGAGGUGCUGGGGCUGCCUCCUGGGGAAGAGACAGGCAGGGCUGGCGGUGCCCCGCCUGCCAGCGUGUGUUCAUGGGUUCAUGUGACCUCAGGUGCGGCUGGAGCCCCGACAGCUGUCAGGAUGCACUGCGUUAACCAAGGCCGGUUCCCCAAGACCAGGGCCGUCCGCCCACGACACCCCUGGAGUCAUUCUUUGUGUUUUUGCACACAUGAGUCUAAGAGCCUAAAUUAUUUUUGGAAAUCAUUUUGAAACUUUCAAAGAUUAUGUAAAAGCUAUCUGGUUUUUUGAGCAAUGUUUAACUGAGUGAAGUAAAAAGUUUCUUUGGUAUUUUUUCAGUGCCCAUGUUCACCUCUGCUGGUUUUGAUUCCAGGGAUGGGGAACAAGUCGGUAUGUCCCCCUGCAGCCACCAGGCCCAUUUGUUGUCACUGUGCCUCAGGGCGGGGGUGGCAUGCAGCCUCUUGUUGCCCCAAGGGUCCGAAGUAAAGCUGCCCAGUGCUGCGUGCUCACUUGGGAGCCGUGUGGAGGAGAGCAGGUCUCCCCCACACGGAGCUGGAGCCCACAGUGCUGGGGUGGUACAGGGUCACCAGCACACCCCACACACUCAGAGGUGGCCCCGUGACAGAGACCAGCCUCAGCUCUGGCCCCGCCCGGCGGGGUUGGCAGCAGCUAUGGGUCCCGUCUGGUUGGGGUGUUUCCUCCCCUCCUGCCUGAGCCCUCCGUGGGGACCCUGCCGAGGGGUCAGAGCACUCCACACAGCUUUUUGAUUCUUAUUCCUGAGCACUGAUAUCAGCACAAAGGGGCCCCUGCCCUGGGGUCUUGCUGCGCCCACCCUCCACAGCCCCCGGGGAGGCCCAGCAGCACCUGGGGUGGCCGUUUCCAGGCCAGCGAGAAGCCCUGUGGUCUCUCCCCAGCAACCCAGUUAGUGGAGCUAAUUUCAGAACGGUGUCUCGUCUCCCUGGACCCGUUCCAGGCACCUGCGAGGCAGCGGUCAGCUGGAGGACAAGCUGUCUGCCUCCCUCCCGAGCAUCCUCCUCCCACCGUGGAUCCAGACCUGCCAGGUCCCCCUGGGGCGGGCUCCAGUGCAGGGGGCCUGGACUGGCACGUGUUGGGGUCCACAAGUCCACCCUCCCAGGAAGGUGAGAAACAGGACCUGCCGGGUCCCCUGACACUCACCAAGGACUGGGGAUGCCUGACACGAGCAGGCAUACGUCAGCUCAGCCACCGUGUGGGGUCAUGGCCUCCGUCACACAAGCCUGCCUAGGUCAGCACAAGGACCGGUUCUGAAUCCCAAGGGCAGCGGGCGUGACUGGCACCCAGACUGGAAACAGCACAGCAUGCCAGGAGGGCAGGCCUGGCUCCAGCUGUCCUGGCGGCACCAUGGCACCCCGGUGUAUUCAAGCACAAGACGCAGCCCCACAUGUGGACUGAUUGCCGCUGUGACCACAAUGGAUGGACUUCCUGAUCCCACAGUGAGAGCUGGAACAGCUCCCGAAAUCCGGGUCCAAGCAGACCAUGGAGGGCCAUGCC
ensembl:lncRNA